UGCAAGUCAGAUGUGAAAGCCUUUCUGUUCAACGGAAGAAUUGCAUCUGAAACUGCUAAUCUUGAGUAUAGGAGGGGAGAAUGGAACUUCUGGUGGAGCGGUGAAAUGCGUAGAUAUCAGAAGGAACGCCGGCGGCGAAAGCGAUUCUCUGGCCUAUUACUGACACUCAGUGUGCGAAAGCUAGGGGAGCAAACGGGAUUAGAUACCCCGGUAGUCCUAGCCGUAAACGAUGGGCACUAAGUAGAGGGAAUUACCUAUAUUCUCUCUGCCGUAGCUAACGCAUUAAGUGCCCCGCCUGGGGAGUACGGCCGCAAGGCUAAAACUCAAAAGAAUUGACGGGGGCUCGCACAAGCGGUGGAGCAUGUGGCUUAAUUCGAUGCAACGCGAAAAACCUUACCGGGGCUUGACAUGAUAGAAGUAGGAACCUGAAAGGGGGACGAACGGUAUCCAGUCCGUAGCUAUUACAGGUGUUGCAUGGCUGUCGUCAGCUCGUGUCGUGAGACGUUGGGUUAAGUCCCCUAACGAGCGAAACCCUUGUUUUUAGUUACCAGCGGGUUAUGCCGGGUACUCUAGAAAGACUGCCGUCGUCAAGACGGAGGAAGGUGGGGAUGACGUCAAGUCAUCACGGCCCUUAUGCCCCGGGCUGCACACGUGCUACAAUGGUCGGUACAGACGGAAGCGAAG
rnacentral:rRNA from 1 species